AUGAUUAUGACGAAAUAGGUAGACGUGUUUAGUUUAGGCCUAAAUAAUUAUUGGUUCAAGUCCAAUUAAUCAUA
rnacentral:tRNA from 1 species